UACGUAGGGGGCAAGCGUUAUCCGGAAUCACUGGGUGUAAAGGGAGCGUAGACGGCUGUGCAAGCCUGAAGUGAAAGGCGGGGGCCCAACCCCCGGACUGCUUUGGGAACUGUACGGCUGGAGUGCAGGAGAGGUAAGUGGAAUUCCUAGUGUAGCGGUGAAAUGCGUAGAUAUUAGGAGGAACACCAGUGGCGAAGGCGGCUUACUGGACUGUAACUGACGUUGAGGCUCGAAAGCGUGGGGAGCAAAUAGG
rnacentral:rRNA from 1 species